UCUUGGAUCUCUCCCUCCCCCUACCUUGUUUCGCUGGCCGCCCGCGCGCGCGAUGCCCCGCCCACUUCGCCCCACACUGCCUUGCUCUCUCGCUCUUUGCUAGAAGUAGAAGAACGGGGUGGGCCUGAAGAUGCGGCGCCAGACGCGCGCGCGCAUGGGCAGGGCGACACUACAGCGCAUGCGCGGCGCUCGGAGCGCCACGCGCUCUCCUCUCCUCUGUAACCUCUCCGAGGGGCGCGCUCCUUCUAGACCCCACACUGCGCAUGCGCCCGGGAACCGCUUCCCUUCCCGGACCUGGGUUCGCGUCUGCAAACUCCCGCCUCUUCGCUUUCGCUCCGCCGGGGAGCUUCACGUGCGCGGUAGCUGCGGUGGAGGCUGGCCCAGUCGAGCGCCCUUAUGCGGGGGCGUGUUCGUGGCUUAUGCGAGUCCGCGACAGUCCUAACUGCUGUCGCAAACCUAUGAGGGGAAAACACUUCCUUGUCACAUCAGAUGUUUCUGUAUGGAGCGGGUGCCACUAACUAACACUUGACACUCUAUUCCAGUGCUACUAGCAAGUUUCCUGAUGUGUAGGAAACUGAAGUAUGGGGAGUUUUGGUGACUUCAACAAGACUUAACUGGCUAAUGGUGCUUCUGGGCAGCAUUUCUGCACAGUAUUCGUGCCCAGCCACGGAGCCACACUGCCUAUGCGGCAAUAACAGAAAGCCUGGUCAGAUAUACUGCUCCAGGGUUUCUGGGAUUCUCAGAAUGGGGCCAGAGAGAACAUUUGCCUUAUCCAUAGCACUUGAAUUUCUAUUUGUAAUGAUAUUAAAGUUAAAAUUCUCAAAGUCCAAAUGAGGUUAUUCAUUUCCAUAAAUUUAUUGCUACUUUGAAAAUAUUGUCAGUUAGACUAUUAAACCUGGUAGGGAAUUUAGGGAUUAUACUAAAGAGAUCACUUCACACAAUCUCUUUGUUUUUCACAUAAGGAAACUGAGGUUACAUGACUUGCUUAAGUCAUAGAGCAGGUCUGGUGCUGUAAGAUGACGUUAUUUUACAUGGAAUGAAAUGUACACAUCUCAAGUGAAUAAUUUGAGUUUCAACAAAUGCGCGUGCCUAUGUUACCAAUUUAAAAGCCAAAAUACACAUCUUUCCAUUAUUCCUGAACCUUCCUUUGUGCUGUGCACUUCUCUGAAAACAUUUGCCCUUGUUCAUGUGUGCGUGUUAAUAAGAAUUCAAGUGUUUAUAUUUCAUAUAUAUUCACAGAUUUCACAGCUGUCAGCAAUGAAACACCUUAGUGUGUAUGGAUGUGUAUAUUUCCAUAAAGACAGAAAUUUUCUGUUUUUCACAAAUCCCCAUGCUCUUUGUUUUUUUAUUUUUCUGACUUAUCACACUAUUUUAUUCAGAGAUC